CACGUAGGGCGCAAGCGUUGUCCGGAAUUAUUGGGCGUAAAGAGCUCGUAGGUGGUCUGUUGCGUCCGCUGUGAAAACUCGGGGCUUAACCCCGAGCCUGCAGUGGAUACGGGCAGACUAGAGGUAGGUAGGGGAGAAUGGAAUUCCUGGUGUAGCGGUGAAAUGCGCAGAUAUCAGGAGGAACACCGGUGGCGAAGGCGGUUCUCUGGGCCUUACCUGACACUGAGGAGCGAAAGCGUGGAGAGCGAACAGG
rnacentral:rRNA from 1 species